rnacentral:lncRNA from 1 species
UUUAUUUAUUUUUAGCCAAAUCGGUUAAGUUUAGAGAGAGAAAGAGAAAAGAGGAAAUAACAUAAGACACCCGUCUAUCAGAUGAGAAAUAAGAGGAAAGGUUAAGCAAAAACAAUUCAUUCCCCGAUAUGUCACCACUUCAUUCCAAAACAAGUCCCAAUUUUCUUCCUUUCUCUUUCAAUUGCCGAAAGCAUAGACUCCCCAAACCUUGUCAAAAAUUUCUUGGGUUCGGCUAUAAACUGGGAAUUCAUCAAAGGAAAUGAAGCUAUAAAACUGAAUCGAGAGUUAUUUACAGCAAUUAGCAAUCGGGGUCAAGAAAUAUUAUAUCAAUUGUUGUCCGCAAAGGGAUUGGAGUGGGAAUUUCAUUAAGUAAAAAACGGAGAGAAGGUCUCACUUGAUAACAAGGAGCAGAAAAGGCAAGAAGGCUUCUAGCUGGGAAACUAAGGAAGUGCAGUACAAACUAAUUGAAGAGAGCAUUCAAUUCAAUUUCAUAAGCAAGAAUUGAAUUAAACUUCAAACUAAAAAGGGGUUUAAACUCUUCCUUUCUAAAUUUAUAGAGUUUUUUUUUAAGUUUAAAUUGCAUCUAUGGUUGUGAAAGGUAAUUUAAAUGGAGGAAUCAAAUGGAUUCAAGAAUCAAAAGGAGGAAUUUAUUAGGAGAUGGCAUGAUUGCACGUUCAAACUCAUGUAAAUUCUAAGUUUUUAAGCCCAACACAAUAGGUGUUUGUUACAAUACCUAAAUAAAGCUAUUUUGUUAAAAUUUGAGAAUUUAUAGAUACUUUUGAUAAGUUAGUAUGGAGACAUGAAUUAUAAGUUAAUUUAAUCUGGUUGGAGGGUUGGAAAGGAGUUCAAAAUGGACUUUUGUGAAAGUUUUCUUAUGAAUUAAUUAAAACUAGAAAUCUUGUUACACUCAGAUUUUGAGCACUCUGUUUUAUACUUAAGUCCAGCCCUUAAAGUUAUAGUAAUAGUAGUGCCACGAGGGUACAACCCACUUUAUAGAUAUAUGAUCACUUGCAAGUUAGCAGUAGAUGUAGUUGAAACUUUGUUUUAAAAAAAUAGAGCUUGGAUCUUGAUCACAAUUAGCGAAAGGUAUGAAAUUGUUUUUAAUUUUGAGUUCUAGUAAGAAUUCAUGAUAUUAUAUAGAAAUAGAGUAAAGUUUGAAUUUUGGAAGUUUAGUUAGCUUUGAUGUAAAUUUAGACUAUUUUUCUUUAUAAUAAAUCAAGUUUUGAUCCUUGUAUAUGUAAUAUGACAUUAGAAAAGGG